rnacentral:rRNA from 1 species
UGACCAGACUCCUACGGGAGGCAGCAGUGGGGAAUAUUGCACAAUGGGGGAAACCCUGAUGCAGCAACGCCGCGUGAAGGAAGACGGUUUUCGGAUUGUAAACUUCUGUUCUUAGUGAAGAAGAAUGACGGUAGCUAAGGAGCAAGCCACGGCUAACUACGUGCCAGCAGCCGCGGUAAUACGUAGGGGGCGAGCGUUAUCCGGAAUUACUGGGUGUAAAGGGAGCGUAGACGGCGAGGUAAGCCUGAAGUGGAAGCCCGCGGCCCAACCGCGGAACUGCUUUGGGAACUGUUUUGCUGGAGUAUGGGAGGGGUAAGCGGAAUUCCUGGUGUAGCGGUGAAAUGCGUAGAUAUCAGGAGGAACACCGGUGGCGAAGGCGGCUUACUGGACCAUAACUGACGUUGAGGCUCGAAAGCGUGGGGAGCGAACAGGAUUAGAUACCCGGGUACGU